UGCACAAUAAGGAUAUUAAGCAUGCAUAUGUAUAUAGAAAUCCAUGUAAACGAGAAAAGAAAACAAAAAUGAAUAGAGAUUAACAAGCAUGAGGUGUCAUUGGUUUGGAUAAUUAUGCCCGUGUUAUACAAAUAUACUUACACACACAUAUAUAAUUAUAUAUAUAGCAGCUAUACACAAUUGAAUUAAUCAAAGUGGAGUAUGAGGUGUCAUUGCUUUGGGGCGAAAUAAGAAGAAAGGUGAAAUUAGGAAGGGUUUUGAGUGGAACUGCAAUGUGGCAAUGAAUGCCAAACUGUGGCCUUCACUUGUGGAGGAAAGAAACCGGUGUAUGAGUGGAUUUUGAUGUGGCUUUGUGAGGUUGCCAUAGAGGAGAAAAAUGUGAUGGAAGUGGAAUGGCGACGAAGAAAACAUGGUGGAAAUGCUUCAACCAUGCCCCGCCACUUGUCCAUUUCUUGUGG
rnacentral:lncRNA from 1 species